rnacentral:sRNA from 1 species
AUUUGUUGUGGGCAAAUAAAAUGAAUAUGUGAAUCAAAACCACCUGCUGUCAAAAUUUUACCUUCUCCAGCAAUUACUUCAGUACCAGGGCCAACUAUAAUAUCCACAUUUGGCUGAGUAUCAGGAUUCCCUCCUUUACCAAUUUUACAAAUUCUUCCAUCCAAAAUUCCUAAGUCAGCCUUAUAAAUUCCAGAGAUAUCAAGUAUUAAAGCAUUAGUAAUAAUAGUAUCAACUGCCCCUUUACUUCUUGGAGUUUGAGAUUGCCCCAUACCAUCUCU